CGACGCGCUGCUCGUCCGUCCGACUGCACACCCCGACCGGACCGGCGGGCCAGACCCUCCGCGCCGCCGCGCUGCACGCCGCUCGCCGGGAGCUCCGCGCCGAGCGGCUGGAAAGUUGCUGCCUUCUCCGCGCGCGCCGCCGCCGCCAGCCCCGCCGACUCCGCUCCGGGCUGCGCGCGUGUGGUGGUUAUUUAUUUAUUUUCCGAGCACGCCUCUCGCUUCUUCUUUUAUUCUUGGGGGAAGGGGGAUGGGGAGGAGGAGCGCAACCGAGCACCCACCCUGGCGCGGAGACCGGGCACCGCGGAAUGGAGCCCCACGCGCGCACACUGCCGGGAUUAAAGCCGAUCACAUGGGGCGGGCCGGGGGCGAGCGAGGAGAGGCAGGGCCGCGAUGUCAGUGCCACCAGCCGCGCCUCGGCGUCCCCGGCGGCGGAAAGGCGGCCGCCGCUGCCGCCGCCGCCGCUGCUUCCCCACACCGAGCGCCGCCGUCCGCAGCCGCCGGAGACGUCCCGCUCCGCGCUCGCCACGCUCCCCUCCGCCGCCCGCGCGCCUUCACUCACAGGCACAGCCGCGGAGCUCGGCAGACAGUCCCGGCACAACCUCCCCGCCGCCGCCGCCACCGCGCCCGCCUCCGCCGCCGCCUCCGCCCCUUCCUCCUGCCGGCCCCCGCCUCCCGCGCCCCGGCCGCCGCCUCCUCCCCGCGGAGCCCACCCGCUCCCGCCCCGACGUCGGAGCUGCGGGCGCUCGUUGGCUGGCGCGCGCGUCACUCACGGCCUCCCCGCUCGCCCCGCCCCCUGCCGCGCCGUCCCCGCCCCGCGAUCUGUUUUCUCCGCGGCCAGUCGGGCGGGCUUGCUCCUCCCCCGCCCGGUCCCCGCUCAGGUGUCAGUGUGGCUGCAAGGCUGGGAUUAGGGAAGGAGAAUGGGCGGGGGGUCGCGCUGGGAGGAGAGGGGCUCCACCCCAACCCACUGGGCUUCCGCCCCUGCCCCGCGCACACACCCCGGCCGCGCUGGCAGCCGUGCCAGGCCAGCCCGGCUCAGCCGCAGUGGCCUCGAAGCCCACGGUGGAUCGGCACUCGCGUUGGAAGGAGACCAAAGGAAAGAAUGCGGGAUGCGGGAGGCCACAGAGUGACAGUAGCCCAGAUCUCCUCUCUGACCUGCCUGCCGCGCCACGGAAUGAGGAGCAGGUCUCCCCCUCUGCCAGAAGGUCACCUCCGCACAGACCCUCGCAGACUAACCGCAACGCCAAGGACGAGCCAGGAGGUUGGAGCCUCUUUGGGAAUAAUGGAGAGAGCUGAAUAAAUUUCUCACCCUUCAUCCUUCCUGUUUUAUUUCCAAAUUCCUUCAGUAUCAGGUUUUUCCUGUUUUCUGGAUUGGACCAUGAGCCCAGUAAAAGGCCUAAUGAAAGACUUAGGGAGCUAGGAGAUGGAGCCAGAAGUGUUUUGGGGACAGGGAUUAGAUUAAAAUUAACACUUGGAAAUAAGGUUUAGGAAUUAACUGAUGGCGCUGGAGUGUGGCUUGAACAGUGUGGCCUGCAAAGAAUAGGAGUUCACACUGGAAGGCAGGUGAGCCUCUGUGGAGGGCUCCUAGCAAAAGGAGACCAUGCGGGGUGUGUGCCUCUGGCUCCAAGAUUUUGCUGCCCAGCUUGCAACCCCAGGAUAGUGUGUGGUAAUUAGGCAGACAGUACGUUUAAUAAAUAUGGAUUGUGCUCCUUUUAUAUGCCA
rnacentral:lncRNA from 1 species